rnacentral:rRNA from 1 species
AGAGUUUGAUUAUGGCUCAGGAUGAACGCUGGCGGCGUGCCUAACACAUGCAAGUCGCGGGAGAAGCACCUUCGGGUGCGGCAACCGGCGCACGGGUGAGUAACACGUAGCUGAUCUACCCCUUAGAAGUGGAUAACCAUUGGAAACAGUGGCUAAUACACCAUAAGCUCACGGUCUUUAGAGGGUUGUGAGAAAAGUUCAGGCGCUAAGGGAUGAGGCUGCGAGCCAUCAGCUAGUUGGUGCGGUAACGGCGUACCAAGGCGACGACGGCUAGGGGACCUGAGAGGGUGACCCCCCACACUGGAACUGAGAAACGGUCCAGACUUCUACGGAAGGCAGCAGUGAGGAAUAUUGCACAAUGGGCGCAAGCCUGAUGCAGCGACGCCGCGUGGGUGAAGAAGGAUUUCGGUCUGUAAAGCCCUUUUCUGUGUGACGAGAAUGGACGGUAGCACAGGAAUAAGUCUCGGCUAACUACGUGCCAGCAGCCGCGGUAAU